ACCUUAUAUAGAUGUAGCCACGCAAGACAGUGGUGCAUCUCCCUGUAAGGUGGUGUUUCAAUAGAAGUAUAAACGACAAGCCUUAUUGCCUAGCUUUUGAGUUGAAAUAAGGUGAGUUUAUAUGGAAGAGGUUAACCGUAAGACCUUAAGUUGAAAAACUUUAAAUUGGAUCUAAAAGUCGAAUUUCUUAAUUUUCGCACUUUUUAGUUACGGUGGU
rnacentral:sRNA from 12 species